UUAAGUUCAGCGGGUAUUCCUACCUGAUCCGAGGUCAACCUUAAGAAGUUGGGGUUUUUACGGCAGACGCGCGCCGGGACGCCCUGAGCGAGGCUUUUACACUACUACGCUCGGAGUCCAGGCGGGCUCGCCACUGUAUUUCAGGGCCCGCGCGCGCUGCGCGGUGCCCCAACGCCAGGCUAGGCCUGAGGGUUGAAAUG
rnacentral:misc_RNA from 1 species